rnacentral:lncRNA from 1 species
CAGGGUCUUUCCCACAUGCUGGGCUGCAGAGUGAGGAAAACCCAUCCCGGAGGAAGCUGGCGGUUAGGCUGGCUGAAGGCAUUCUGCAUGAUGAACACAACAGUUCUCAAAAAAGUAAUGAUGUCAUACCAGAGCAGCAGGAGGGGGUGGUCUGUGACCAUGUAUGCUUGAUAAAUUCUGGAUUUAAGCAAAGUAGGCCGGCUUCUUUGUCAAUAGACGUAUUGGGUUAUUCCCGGGGGGGCUGCAGCCGGAGCACCUCCCACUCCUUCGCAGGGGUUAUUUCUGAAGACCCCCUCUUGGAGGAGCUCUGCUAGGGCCCUGCGUGCACCUGCUGCCCUGGCAUCCUGGCCAGCAGCUCCGCCAGGCUCUAGUGUGUAUGGCCUGGGCUACCUCCCGGUACUGUCGCCGCAGGCCUUGGGACCCGUUCCCGCCGCGAGGCUCCCGAGGUAGCCCCGGCCUCCGGUUCUUCUCAGAUAGCCCCGUCGUCCAGCCCCAGAAGCGGGCACUAAUGCCUUCCCUGAACGCUGAAAGUUGUUGAAUGGAUAUGGACAAUGAUUAGAAUCAUGUAGAAAACAUUAAGUGAUGGUCAGUAUGUUCUGUUUGGGAAAUACUGAAAUGUGCAACACAAGCUAGAAAUAACAACAUGCAGAACAGCACAACUUUGUAAGACCCGCGCUGAAGGAGGCAGCAUUUGUGUGAGAGCGCCCGGCGCUGCCCAGAAGAGCUGGAACGCCCAAGGAAGGCCGCUGCUCAGCGCAGGACCCCUGGGCUCCCGGAAACGGGAUAGCGUUGCUUAUCUUUAAGGCAUAAGGAAGCCUGGCUGUUGCCAGCCUCUCACCUGCAGAAGAUGCACCUCAUAGCACCCUGGACAGGUGAACCAAGACACAUCACUGAAGUGCCAAUACAUGCACCCCUGAGGGCCCAAAGCCAACCUGAGGGCUCUGCCUGCCUGGCUCCCUGCACCCGAGUCCCCAGAAACGUGCUCACAGCACAGGGAGCUCCAGAGCCCAAGCCUCGGAGUGUUGGAAAACAACAUCAACAUGAGAAAUGGGUGCUAGGAGUACCUUUGUAGGUGACAUUAAAAUGCUUACAUUAGAUAGCAGAGAUGAGACCAAAGAAACUGGGGGGAGGGGGUGCCCCCAGCCCUGACACUGUGGGCCUUUGCCUGUAUGCAGCCUUUGCCCUGCAAGGGACAGCAGCUUCCUCUGCCUAUAAUACCUGCAAGCCUCCCAUUCUCAUGGAGUGCUUCCUUUUGGCUUUUUGCUUUUAGGUUUCUUUUGUUUGUUUUUAAUUUUAAGAAUAACCUGUUUGGAGAGCUGGGCAUGGGGGCUUGUUCCUAUAGUACCAGCUUCUCAGAAGGCUGAGGCAGAAGGAUCACUUAAGCCUAAGAGUUUGAGACCAGCUCUCAUAUAGUGAGACCUUGUCUCUAAAGAAAAGAAAGAAAAAGAACCUGUUUGGACACACAAAAUCUAACUUUUCCCCCUCUCUUCCUGAUCCCUUUCCAGCAGUGCUUUGGGGCUGAGCAGUAAAAUCCAAAAGAGAUUCAGUUGGGUAAAAUACUAAAAUCUAGCCAGGCACAGUGGCUUGCACCUGUAACCCCAGCACUUUGGGAGGCUAAGGCGGGAGGAUCACUUGAACCCAGGAGUUUGAGACCAGCCUGGGCAAAAUAGUGAGACCGUGUCUCUAUAAAAAAAUUUAAAAAUUAGCAAGGCAUGGUAGCAUGCACCUGUAGUCCCAGCUACCUGGGAGGCUGAGGUGAGAGGAUCGCUUCAGCCUGAGAGGUCAAGGCUGCAGUGAGCUGUGGUUAUGCCUCUGCACUCUAGCCUGGGAGACAGAGCAAGACCCCGUCUCAGGAAGAAAAAAAAAAGUCUGCUCUCCCUGCAAAUCGCGUGUGCUGGUGAUGAGGGAGGCAUGUGCAGUUCGUGAAAAAAUAGGGUUUCUGAUUUUCCACUCCUCAGUCUCAGGAUGGUGGAUGGGGGCAGACCCCCACCAUUAGGCAGCGAACAUGUGGGAAGACAGAAGAAAGAGGAAGGAAAGGCACUGAACAUGUCCACCAGGGUAUUGCCCAGGCCAGCAUAUUUGCAGGGUUAGUUUGUCCCCUCUGUCAGGAGGGGUCUUCAGCCCCUGGGGAAGUAAGGUGCCUAAGCUCUCACAGCUGAUAAGUGGCAGUUCUUGCAGAUGAGUCUGAGCUAGGUGCUAAUGCCUCAGUGCUCAUUUUUCCAGGCUCUGCACCACCAAGACCUUACUCAGGUGUGUCCAGGCCAGCAUUUCCCAAGGGCAUCUAGAGAUCACUGUGAUCACUGGUUGUUGAUGUUCAUUUCCCCCACUAGUGUCUAAGCCAUAUGAAAUUCAUAUUAUUUCUCAAAUCUGGCUCUCCCACCUACUGCCUGUGUGACUGCGGGGACAUCCCAGAGCCUCUCCAAGCCUCUUUUCUUAUCUAUAAAAUGAGAUGGUAAUAAUAACAUUGACCUCAGCCGGGCUCGGUGGCUCACGCCUGUAAUCCCAGCACUUUGGGAGGCUGAGGAGGUUGGAUCACCUGAGAUCAGGAGUUCCGAGACCAGUCUGGCCAUAUGGUGAAACCCCUUUUCUACUAAAAAUACAAAAAAUUAGCCAGACGUGGUGGCAGGCAUCUGUAAUCCCAGCUACUCCAGAGGCUGAGGCAGAAGAAUCACUUGAACCCGGGAGGCAGAGGUUGCAGUGAGCCAAGGUCGCACCACUGCACUCCAGCCUGGGUGACAAGACUCCAUGACCUCACAAGGCUGUUGUGAGCAUUAAAGGUCUCCAUCCACGUAAAGCACUUAUAAAACUGUCAAGCCCAUAAUAAGUACUCAAUAAAUGUCAGCUGUUAAUAUUGUUAUCUGAAAAUUCUGCCUCUAACCUGAGUUCUUAAUUGGGUUUACUUUUAAAGGGAUCAAAUCUAGUUCUCCUUGAGCACUUCAUAUACAAAGAAUGCAGAAUGAAAGGGCCCAUGAGAA